UGCCGAUUCUGAAGUGGGAAGA
rnacentral:miRNA from 1 species